rnacentral:rRNA from 1 species
AUUGAACGCUGGCGGCAGGCCUAACACAUGCAAGUCGAGCGAGCGGCGGACGGGUUCGUAAUGUAUGGGGACUGCACGAUAGAGGGGGAUAAAUACUUGAAACGGUGGAUACUACCGCAUAUUCUCGGAUACCACAUAUGGGAUUAGCUAUUAGGUAAGGUAAUGGCUUACCUAGGCGACGAUCCCUAGCUGGUCUCAGAGGAUGAUAAGCAAAACUGGGAUGGAGACACGGCCCAGACUCCUACGGAGGCAGCAGUGGGGAAUAUUGCACAAUGGGCGCAAGCCUGAUGCAGCCAUGACGCGUGUAUGAAGAAGGCCUUAGGGUUGUAAAGUACUUUCAGUCGGGAGGCGUUACCGACAGAAGAAGCACCGGCUAACUCCGUGCCAGCAGCCGCGGUAAUAC